UGAGGAAUCUUGCGCAAUGGGCGAAAGCCUGACGCAGCGAUGCCGCGUGGGGGAUGAAGGCCUUCGGGUCGUAAACCCCUUUGAGUGGGAAAGAAACGCCGCGGGGUGAACAAUCCCGUGGCCUGACGGUACCCACAGAACAAGCCACGGCUAACUCUGUGCCAGCAGCCGCGGUAAGACAGAGGUGGCGAGCGUUGUUCGGAUUUACUGGGCGUAAAGCGCGGGGAGGCGGUCCGGCCAGUCAGAUGU
rnacentral:rRNA from 1 species